UGGGAGGGCGCGGGAUGAUAGCGCCUAGCACCUGUCUCCGGGCCUUCCCGAUGAGCCGCGCUUAGGGUCCGUGGGCUUCAGCUGCAUGAACCACGUUCCAGCAGUUCGGCCCUCCUGGCCCCAACGCGCCUUUGAAAUACGCGGACAGUGCGCUUUCCUUCUUGGCCCGAGCGGCGCUUCGCAAUGCGGGCUUGUGCACUCGUGAGGCCCGCGGACACCUCCCGCCCCUGCGCGGCGGAGCGCUCCGCCGGCUACCUGCUCCUCAGAAGUGGCCUGGAGGCUGGAUUUCCUUGGCCAUAUCUGGUCCCUGGGCUCUCGCCGACAAAGAAGCAUUGUCCGUACUGUCUGUGUGCCCAGAAAUGGGAAGCGGGUGUAAGGGGAGGCCAAACUUGACUUUCUUAGUGUCGCGAGGUACGUGUUCCAAUGGCCACUUCACCUCCUUGGAUCUCCAUGUAUUUCAUAUUUGGCUAAAACUAAGAAGGUAAUUUUGAAAGAGCCAUUGGUCUGAAUAUGGAAUCUAAGGCAAGUGACUUCUGUAAACCUCUCUCUUCUUGAAUGUGGUUAAAAACUCGAAACAGGCCGGGCGCGGUGGCUCACGCCAGUAAUCCCAGCACUUUGGGAGGCCGAAGCGGGCUGAUUGCUUGAGCCCAGCAGUUCGAGACCAGCCUGGCCAACAUGGCAAAACACCGUCUCUACAAAAGAAAAAUACAAAAAUUAGCCGAGCGUGGUGGUGGACGCCUGUUCAGCUACUCAGGAGGCCGAGGUAUGAGAAUCGCUUGAGCCUCGGAGGUCGAGGUUGCAGUGAGUGGAGAUUGCGCCAUUGCACUCCAGCCUGGGCGACAGAGCUAGACGCAGUCUCAAAAACCAAAAGCAAGCAAACCUGUGGGAACAAGUCCUAACUGAUGGGGAUGUGUCUGAAUUAGAUGAAGCAUAUAAAUUGCCUAGCAAACUGCCUGAUGUGGUACCUUAAGAAAGGCCUCAAUAAAUGUUAAUCUCUUCCCCUUGAUGAUUUAAGUUACACGGUUUAGAUUCAUAUUCAAUAUUGGUUUUUCUCUAGAUUUCUUCUAUUUUUACAUACAAAUAUGUGUUUCAUUUGUGACUUAGUGUUUCAUUUUUUAAUAACAAAAAUAAAAAUCUGGCAAGCA
rnacentral:lncRNA from 1 species